GAAAGCAGGGUCUGGAGAGAACCUCACAGUUGGCCCAGAAUGAAGAGGCUGCUUCUCUCUAAGUGGCUUUCUGUCACCAAAACUGAAUUGCUACACAGUCCACUUCAGAAGGUUUCCUUUGUGACUGGGACACAGGAAUUUCCUGGGCUAAAAAUUCCCUGAAGGACCUGGAGAAGAGGAGGGCAGAUUUGCAGGCCAUGGCGGAGAGCAGUGCUGCACCACAGGUCCUGGUGGAGGGCAGUGCCGUGGCCCUGCGGGUGAGGCUGGGCAUGCUGGGUGCCGGCUGUGGCCACGUGUGCACCUGGAACAAGGAGUGGUGUGACGCCCUCAUGGUGCAUGUCUGGUGCCGCCAAGGCCAGUCACUCCUCUCCUUUCCCCUGUUUAAGGUAA